GUACUCACUUCGGCAGCACAUAUACUAAAAUUGGAACGAUACAGAGAAGAUUAGCAUGGCCCCUGCACAAGGAUGACAUGCAAAUUUGUGAAGCAUUCUAUAUUUUU
rnacentral:snRNA from 1 species